GAUGAACGCUGGCGGCGUGCCUAAUACAUGCAAGUCGAGCGAACAGACGAGGAGCUUGCUCCUCUGACGUUAGCGGCGGACGGGUGAGUAACACGUGGAUAACCUACCUAUAAGACUGGGAUAACUUCGGGAAACCGGAGCUAAUACCGGAUAAUAUAUUGAACCGCAUGGUUCAAUAGUGAAAGACGGUUUUGCUCUCACUUAUAGAUGGAUCCGCGCCGCAUUAGCUAGUUGGUAAGGUAACGGCUUACCAAGGCAACGAUGCGUAGCCGACCUGAGAGGGUGAUCGGCCACACUGGAACUGAGACACGGUCCAGACUCCUACGGGAGGCAGCAGUAGGGAAUCUUCCGCAAUGGGCGAAAGCCUGACGGAGCAACGCCGCGUGGGUGAUGAAGGUCUUCGGAUCGUAAAACUCUGUUAUUAGGGAAGAACAAAUGUGUAAGUAACUAUGCACGUCUUGACGGUACCUAAUCAGAAAGCCACGGCUAACUACGUG
rnacentral:rRNA from 1 species